rnacentral:rRNA from 1 species
CGGAGGGAUCAUUACUGAGUUUACGCUCUAUAACCCUUUGUGAACAUACCUAUAACUGUUGCUUCGGCGGGUAGGGUCUCCGUGACCCUCCCGGCCUCCCGCCCCCGGGCGGGUCGGCGCCCGCCGGAGGAUAACCAAACUCUGAUUUAACGACGUUUCUUCUGAGUGGUACAAGCAAAUAAUCAAAACUUUUAACAACGGAUCUCUUGGUUCUGGCAUCGAUGAAGAACGCAGCGAAAUGCGAUAAGUAAUGUGAAUUGCAGAAUUCAGUGAAUCAUCGAAUCUUUGAACGCACAUUGCGCCCGCCAGCAUUCUGGCGGGCAUGCCUGUUCGAGCGUCAUUUCAACCCUCAAGCUCUGCUUGGUGUUGGGGCCCUACAGCUGAUGUAGGCCCUCAAAGGUAGUGGCGGACCCUCCCGGAGCCUCCUUUGCGUAGUAACUUUACGUCUCGCACUGGGAUCCGGAGGGACUCUUGCCGUAAAACCCCCAAUUUUCCAAAGGUUGACCUCGGAUCAGGUAGGAAUACCCGCUGAACUUAAGCAUAUC